CCCCUGGUUCCCUUCAUCAGAGCUUGUGCUCCUGUUUGUUCUCCUCAGCCUCACCCCACCUGGAGCCCUGGAUCUUCCCUAAACAAACCCUGCUGGAUCUGCCAAGCCAAGAGUGCCCUCGUCUGUCUGUGCUUUUUCCCGUUAUUUGAUAUAGUCAGUGAUGGCCUAAGUAUCCCAUGGCUGAAUUAGAAGACUACAGGGGCUGGCUAUGGAUGACAGUCACGUCUCUGGCCUGGUGCACACCAGGUCCACACAUGAGCUGAGGGAUCAUCCUUGCACACCCCAUCCUGGAAGAACCCAGGCAAGUUGAACAGAAAAUCUGCCUCUUCCUCCAUGAUUUUUGAGCGCCAAAGCAAAGAACCAUGAAAAAAAAAC